CUGGGCCGGCCGGGCGCGAUCCGGGAAGGGCGGCUGCGGUCGCAAGCCGCGCUGCUUUCAGCCAGGCUGGCACCAUGCGGCCCCUGCUUUGCGCGCUGGCCGGGCUGGCCCUGCUCUGUGCCGUGGGCGCUUUGGCCGAUGGUGAGAGCGCUGAUGACCUAGCCCAAAGGCGGCUGGAAGGUAGGAGGGUGCCUUUCUUUGAGGACUGCUUCCCAGCAUCAAGGACACCUUUUCUCUGAGUUCCAUCUCACAGGCUGAUCUUUUAAAUAGACCUCAUUCCUCCAAUUUCCUGCAGUCAUGAAGUUAGACAUUUCUGGGAUUCCGUUUCCUGAAAUGCAAUGUUUCCUGAAUGCCAUUAAGGUGCUUCUCCUGGGAGUUGAACCUGCCUUUGGAUGGAGCCCUUUCCUGUGGAAACACGGGAAUCGGUUCUAAGAAGCAGUAAGAAAGCCAAACAAAGCCACAGCAGAAGCACCUGGCACUGUUUAGAAUGCUGCACAUCUGAGACUAUCAGUGGUUGCAGAGAGGGGGCUAAGGGUCGGGCUUGAUGACGGUGUGUGACCACUCAUGGGACAGAGUGGUCUUUAACUGGAGGGAAAAUGCUCGUGCCUUGAUGUGAAGUGGGAAAAGACCAAUACAAAGACAUGGUGGUAUCACUGCAAGCAAAAGACUGCUUACAGACAAGAGGAAAGACUGGAAGGAAACACCCAGAAUGGCCAGUGGUCAGCUUUGGGACAUGAGUAUGACUGAUUUAAUGUAUUCCUUUAUAAUUUAGAAAAUGUUCUGUGGUGGGCUUUUGACAAUUGUUGAAUAAAGGUUGUAUAACAAAA
ensembl:lncRNA PLAC9P1 placenta associated 9 pseudogene 1